GGAGGUGUAGCUCAAUGGUAGAGUGCUUGCCAAAUAUGCAAGAGGCCCUAGGUUCACCGCCA
rnacentral:tRNA from 1 species